GUGUUUUAUUUGCUGUUUAAUGUUGUGAUCCCUCAGGCAAUGAAAUACUCCACUUCCUGGGCUUCUUCCCCUCCCACAGGCUCACUGCCAGACACCAUGAUGGAUGAGCCACUUCAAGGCAUUACGGUUUCUGCACCAGGCUAUGCUUGGUACCUCUUUAGGUCUGGAUCAGAGGUUUGAUAGUCACCAUGAAUGUUCCCGUUGUGCUCCUAGCCUUGGACAAAGACAGCUGCCACCAGGCCCUGUCCCAAGACAUGGAGGCCAUACAGAAUGACAAGAUUCUGUCAGAGCUGGAACGUUUUUUAAGGUGAUCUUCACUCUCAGAUUCUUCUGUAGCAACCCCCGGUUUCCUGUUGGAUUUCUCUGUCUUAUGUGGGGGAAGAAAGACCAUAAAAUGCUCUCUGAAUCCAUAAGGACAACCCCAUUGGCACAGAUGGGAAUUUUACUCUGAAGUGACAGCACUGCUUUCCUGAAACAUGACCUAACGACUACAAAGAGUUUCUUUGGAAGCACCAAAUUUUGUCAUUGACCCCUCUUUACCAUAUCACGCUCUCCUGAACCACUCCAUAGCAAUGUUCCUGGGAAGUUAAAGAUGGCUCAGAAGAAAAACUGUCAUCUUUAACAAAGAAAGGAAGGAGGAUGAGAAGAGGCCAUCUAAGAAAUCUACCUACCCCUUCUGCAUUCUGCCGUGUCACUCACAAUCCUAUAUCCCUAUGGAAACGCUUAACUCUUCUAUGUUCCACAAUCAUUGCUUUCAUCCUCUACCCUUUUCAUGACAUUUUCUUUGGUGUUCUUUCCAUUUUACAGAAGAUGAAAAGAAUUGUUAAAUGCCGUGAUCCUUUUAAAGAUGUUCUGGGAUACACAAGAAGGAUUUAAGAUAUUUCAAAACAGGAACACUCCUUUAACUUCUAAGAGAUGGAGCAGAUAGAGAGGACAGGACAUCCUUCUCAGCAGUCACCGGAAUUUACCUAUGGGAAGAAAAUCAGGAGUAGAGUUUCCCAGAAGACCUAGG
rnacentral:lncRNA from 1 species